UUAAUUGAAGAGUUUGAUCAUGGCUCAGAUUGAACGCUGGCGGCAGGCCUAACACAUGCAAGUCGAGCGGUAACAGAGAGUAGCUUGCUACUUUGCUGACGAGCGGCGGACG
rnacentral:rRNA from 2 species